CGUCAAAAAUCCUGUGGAUCCCUGUGUUUGGGUGAUGAUGAAGGCCAACGUGCUUAUACAUCUGUGGGACCGCAGGUUGAUUGGGAAUCGAAUGAUGUAGGUCAAUGGCUUGUUGGUUUUCAAGUGCAUUUGGGAAUCUGUUCGAACAUGGUGGCUGAGUUUCAAGGGCUGAGAUUUGGCAGAUUGCUAUCAUGGCCUGCGGGGU